UGAGGAAUGUGAUAGACAAAAAGGGCUGAAAAUCCAAGGGUUUGACGGUACGCGCGUCGUAACAAGCGUCGCGACGCCCACCGCUGACAGUGGCGCCGCGGGCGGCACUGACGGAAAGCCACCCGUUCUACACAGGAGUGUUCCACACACACGCACCAAAAUACGCAUGCGUUCUACCCCUCCUUAUUCCUAGUCAAUAAAGUAUAAUUUAUAGCGUCGGUGUGUUUCCCAGCCGCGUACGAAAACAUCAGGACGUCCCUUUUAUUCGGCGCGCCUGUUCCGGUGUAAUCGUUACGUGUCCAGGUCACGUCAGUUUCCUGCGUGGUGUGACGUCAUGGCUAUUCCGGGCGUAUCGCGCUCGCUAUUUAUACCGCACGACCCGUCCCAAGCCUGUGUCGCCGAACGAGCUGAUCCCACCGACACUGAACAGGGAAACUAGUAGGUGCUCCAGUGAAUUCGGAGAGAAACUUUACCCAAAAUUCCUAAAUCAUCGCCUAGUAGUUCAUGGCCGAUGUUGAAACCAACAUGCACUUUUCCACAAGCAGUUCUCACAGAGAUCCGCCUUAUCGUCCAUCUGCAGUCAAUUUGUUAGCUGGGAAAUAACGAAUACCGGUCCCAAGACUGAACCUUGCGGAACACCUGACAUCAACUUCAAGUUAAUAUAAGGACGGUGGGUGGUCUAUCUUCGGGUGAUCAGGUUCCACUCACUCCCCCGCAACCAAUGGACAGUCGCAUACACAAACAACGUAGCUGCGGAAGCGUCGCUAAAUGGUUAAUGUACUGCGCAAGCGGAGUCCUAAACAGCCGUAGCAAACUUCGUCGUGUGUCGUUUCAGUUUAUGUAAUUCUCAUUCAUUAAUUUUCAUGGCAUUGAAUGUUCAUGGCAAUUUUUUAAAAAUAUAUUAUACAAAUCAGGUAACACGUUUCGGACAACAUUUAAUAAAACGGUUUUUAUUUAUAAUAUGUAGUAUACAAUAAUCGUAUCUGAAAUCGCAAAAUCAAUCUCUUUUCUCAAAGAACUAAGCAAAAAACAAAGAAUGUAUUUCAUAAAGAAAACAUAAAACAAUAACCAUAUUGUUUUGUAUUCUAUAAAAUUUUAUAAUUGAUCUGAGUCUAAAACUUCUAUCA